rnacentral:rRNA from 1 species
GACAGAGGGUGCAAACGUUGCUCGGAAUCACUGGGCGUAAAGGGCGUGUAGGCGGGUCGGCAAGUCAGAUGUGAAAUCCCUGGGCUCAACCCAGGAACUGCAUUUGAAACUCCCUUUCUUGAGUGUCGGAGAGGAAAGUGGAAUUCCUGGUGUAGAGGUGAAAUUCGUAGAUAUCAGGAGGAACACCGGUGGCGAAGGCGGCUUUCUGGACGACAACUGACGCUGAGACGCGAAAGCGUGGGGAGCAAACAGG